AAUGUGAAUAUUGAUACGGUGUGUUUCAAGUGGGAAACUAAAGUAGUUUGUUUUAUUUUACUGCAGCAAAUUGAGUAGCAUGUACGUUCAUGGCUUCCCCAUCUUCCAGUAAUUGUGCACCCAGUGCUCCACCACCGUUUUACUUUGAUGAGAAGUGGAAACUUUUGAAGAAAGAAGGGUCAUCUAGAAGCCACUCCUCCACUGCUCCUUUCAUGUAGACUUCUCCACAGGGAAGUUGUACUUUUACCGAAAGUGCGCUAGGCUUGUGAAGGAGCAGAGGGCAAGGUUCUACAUCAUCUUUAAUUCUACGAGAUUGUUCUCGGACGAGGAUUCCAUUCAACCAUUGCAGCUGAUCAGCUUUGUGUGGAUCUGGUUUGCUCUCUGACAGAGAUGAUUAUUUUAUCUAAUUCUUAGUGAACCGUGGAUGUUGAAGAUUAAUAAAGAAUAGUUGUAUUCACAGUA